rnacentral:lncRNA from 1 species
UUUGAGCUCAAUGCCAUGACUGAGGAAGACCACGGGGUUUUCUCUCUUAGAGGGGAGUGAACCCAGAGCUUUGAGUUGAGAUGGGGGUGCCAUAAGAUUGAAGUACUCUGAAAAACAGAGCUUAAAGGCUUUUAACAGGAAUCCUUGAUAUUCUUCAUUCCAAUUGUUCACCUCUACUGUAGGGCUCAGUAAACACUUAAGGAAGUUGCCGUGCACUGCAGCCUGCCGGAGACAUGAAGGAAUGUACGGGAGGAUAAUCGCAACAUCAUCAACCCAAUUCUCCAAGUAAUUUGCCAUGGGACAGGCACACCCCAUGUGUUUGGGAAGACAAUGGGAAGGUUCUGUUUUCUGCUCCAAGACUGAUUCAACCAGUUGGAUCUGGAAGGGGAUAAAGGGCUGUGUGGCUGCUUGAUUUUCAUUGUCUAGUGGCAGCCAAAAUUGGAAAAGAGAGAAGUGCAGACUUUAAAGACAAGCAGCGACAGCUCAUCAGCAGUCUAACAACACGACAGAUGACAGGCCCAGAGGCACACCCAGGGCCGCCAGCCCAUCACCCUGUGCAGGAUGUCAAAGAGCAGCUGCAGCAAAGGAAGAAGAUCAUCCAGACUUAAAUGUUUGGGCCUUGCUAAGACCAUAGAGUCUUUGUGCUUUGGAAACAGUCCUCCAUACAAAGACCCCUUCCUAGAAAAGAGUGGAAAGAAACCAAGGUGGAAUGGAUACAACAGAAAGGAGACCAUGCUAAUAUUCUUGUGCAAUGCUUCCUGGGCAGAAAUUAUGUCAUAAAGGAUGUUCCAUUCUGCAAAGCUAUGUGUCUCUCUGUGGUUUGCCUCAGAGGAGGGGCCUUUCAUAGCUGUAGUGAGUAAGGGGGCCCUUGCUGAUGUUCAUCAGAUAUGCCAAGGCACAGGAAGAAAGCAUUGAGGUCACAGGGCAGCUCAGGUCCGCCUGUGGUAAUUGAAAACAGGUGACGAGAUUGGGUUGAUUUUAUUUUGGAAAAGUAAAUUAGUGCUGCACCACUCGGACAUGGCUAAUUCAUGAAGCCUCUGGUUUGUAUUAGACACCCAACAUGCCUUUCAGAAAGAAAUGACACAACAAUUAAUGUGUCAAAUAAUAAUGUGCCACUCGGAGAAAGAUAAUUGUACCCAUCGUCAGGUAGUUAUUAGGUCGAACGAAUGCUCAUCCUUUCAAAGGCAACAGCGUCUAUUCAUUCUGGCAUCCUACUGUAAGUACAGUAUUGUGUUCAUAAUCACACAGACUGAAGCCAGGAACACUGGGUUUUAUCUGAUUUUUCUCCAUUUGGAAUUGUACUCCGAUGAUUCCCUAAACAGCAAACUCAGUCAUGUGAAACACAAAUGAGUGUGAUGAAAGACAGAUUGUUAUACUGCAGGAGAGGCUUUCUGUGCUUUUCACAUAAUAUAGAGCAUGAGGACUGUUCCCAAGAAGGUUUAAGCAUAUGUAACAAAAACUACCAGACCUGAAUUUGCUCAUGUGUAAAUGAUAGUCUUUCCUUCUGGUGAUUUAAUGCAUGAGGACAUCAAUCAGUCACAUCAUGGCCUCAGAAGUCCUUGUUCAAUUUCUGAUGCCAUAACUUACUCGAUGUGGGAUUUGGACAAGUCAUUUAACUUCACUGCAAUUCUGUUUCCCUCAUUUGAAAAAUAGAAAUAGAAAAGCCUGCUGUAUAUUUAGGUCCACAUCUGUUGGGGAGGUCAAAGAAGAAAGAAUAUGAAAAGUUGUUUGUAAAUAUAAAGAACCAUGUAAAUAUAAGACAUUGUUUUAUUAAUGCUCCAGAUCAAUUAACUUUCAGUGAAUGAUAAAAUGUGACAUCUUUUCAACAGAGACAGUUUUACUUAAGAAAAACUAGGCAAUGGCUUCUGUCCUUACAAAUGAAAAACUUCAUAAUAAAUGGGGGCUCUCAAGACCACCUGGCCAAAACUGAACUAAAUACUCACUUCAUUCAACCAAGAAUGAGGAACUGAAAUACAUGAUUAUUAUAUAUGCAUAUGCUUCUGUUUCAUCUACUUGGGCAUGCUUGUGAUGAGAUAUGAAAAAUUAGCCAUCUUUAGAAGGAAAGAAAUAUUGUAUUUGGGGGUAUUUCUUCUGUACAGACAAUUGGCCUGGUUAUUGUCUAAAGGUAUUUAAAAUUAAUAAAAUGCAAUUUUAUGCUACAUAAAAU